CCUACGGGAGGCAGCAGUGAGGAAUAUUGGUCAAUGGGCGGGAGCCUGAACCAGCCAAGUCGCGUGAAGGAAGAAGGUCCUUUGUGUUGUAAACUUCUUUUGUCGGGGAAUAAAGGCGGAGACGCGUCUCCGGAUGAGUGUACCCGAAGAAAAAGCAUCGGCUAACUCCGUGCCAGCAGCCGCGGUAAUACGGAGGAUGCGAGCGUUAUCCGGAUUUAUUGGGGUUAAAGGGGGCGUGGGCGGGAGAUUAAGUUAGCGGUAAAGUGUCGGGGCUCAACCGCGGACGGCCGGUGAUACUGGUUGUCUAGAGUGGAGGAGAGGUAUGCGGAAUGCGUGGUGUAGCGGUGAAAUGCUUAGAUAUCACGAAGAACUCCGAUUGCGAAGGCAGCUUACCGGCGUCAAACUGACGCUGAGGCACGAAAGCGUGGGGAUCGAACAGGAUUAGAUACCCCAGUAGUC
rnacentral:rRNA from 1 species